rnacentral:rRNA from 1 species
GACGAACGCUGGCGGCGUGCUUAACACAUGCAAGUCGAACGGUGAUCUUGGGAGCUUGCUCCUGGGUGAUCAGUGGCGAACGGGUGAGUAACACGUGAGUAACCUGCCCCUGACUCUGGAAUAACUUCGGGAAACCGAAGCUAAUACCGGAUAUGACACAGAGCCGCAUGGUUUCUGUGUGGAAAGUUUUUUCGGUUGGGGAUGGACUCGCGGCCUAUCAGCUUGUUGGUGAGGUAAUGGCUCACCAAGGCGACGACGGGUAGCCGGCCUGAAAGGGCGACCGGCCACACUGGGACUGAGACACGGCCCAGACUCCUACGGGAGGCAGCAGUGGGGAAUAUUGCACAAUGGGCGAAAGCCUGAUGCAGCGACGCCGCGUGAGGGAUGAAGGCCUUCGGGCUGUAAACCUCUUUCAGUAGGGAAGAAGCGCAAGUGACGGUACCUACAGAAGAAGCACCGGCUAACUACGUGCCAGCCGCCGCGGUAAGAC